UACGGAGGAUGCAAGCGUUAUCCGGAAUUAUUGGGCGUAAAGCGUCCGCAGGUGGCUAUGUAAGUCUGCUGUUAAAGAGUGAGGCUCAACCUCAUAAGAGCAGUGGAAACUACACAGCUAGAGUACGGUCGGGGUAGAAGGAAUUCCUGGUGUAGCGGUGAAAUGCGUAGAGAUCAGGAAGAACACCGGUGGCGAAAGCGUUCUGCUAGACCUGUACUGACACUGAGGGACGAAAGCUAGGGGAGCGAAUGGG
rnacentral:rRNA from 1 species